rnacentral:rRNA from 1 species
GAUGAACGCUGGCGGCGUGCCUAAUACAUGCAAGUCGAGCGAACGGACGAGAAGCUUGCUUCUCUGUUGUUAGCGGCGGACGGGUGAGUAACACGUGGAUAACCUACCUAUAAUUCUGGGAUAACUUCGGGAAACCGGAGCUAAUACCGGAUGAUAUUUUGAACCGCAUGGUUCAAAAGUGAAAGACGGUCUUGCUGUCACUUAUAGCUGGUUCCGCGCUGCAUUAGCUAGUUGGUAAGGUAACGGCUUACCAAGGCGACGAUGCAUAGCCGACCUGAGAGGGUGAUCGGCCACACUGGAACUGAGACACGGUCCAGACUCCUACGGGAGGCAGCAGUAGGGAAUCGUCCGCAAUGGGCGAAAGCCUGACGGAGCAACGCCGCGUGAGUGAUGAAGGUCUUCGGAUCGUAAAACUCUGUUAUUAGGGAAGAACAUAUGUGUAAGUAACUGUGCACAUCUUGACGGUACCUAAUCAGAAAGCCACGGCUAACUACGUG